AGAGUUUGAUCCUGGCUCAGAACGUACGCUGGCGGCACGCCUAAUACAUGCAAGUCGAACGGAGUAGCAAUACUUAGUGGCAGACGGGUGAGUAACAUGUGGGUAUCUUCCCUUUGGUGAGGAAUAACACGAGGAAACUUGUGCUAAUACCUCAUAAGUCUUUACGGAGAAAGCUUUAUGCGCCAAUGGAUGAGCCCGCACUUGAUUAGUUUGUUGGUAGGGUAAUGGCCUACCAAGACUGUGAUCAAUAGCUGAUUUGAGAGGAUGAUCAGCCACAUUGGGACUGAGACACGGCCCAAACUCCUACGGGAGGCAGCAGUAGGGAAUCUUGCACAAUGGAGGAAACUCUGAUGCAGCGAUGCCGCGUGAGUGAAGAAGGCCCUUGGGUUGUAAAGCUCUUUCGUCGGGGAAGAAAAUGACUGUACCCGAAUAAGAAGGUCCGGCUAACUUCGUGCCAGCAGCCGCGGUAAUACGAAGGGACCUAGCGUAGUUCGGAAUUACUGGGCUUAAAGAGUUCGUAGGUGGUUAAAAAAGUUGGUGGUGAAAGCCCAGAGCUUAACUCUGGAAUAGCCAUCAAAACUUUUUAGCUAGAGUUUGAUAGAGGAAAGCAGAAUUUCUAGUGUAGAGGUGAAAUUCGUAGAUAUUAGAAAGAAUACCGAUUGCGAAGGCAGCUUUCUGGAUCAUUACUGACACUGAGGAACGAAAGCAUGGGUAGCGAAGAGGAUUAGAUACCCUCGUAGUCCAUGCCGUAAACGAUGUGUGUUAGAUGUUGGAAAUUUAUUUUCAGUAUCGCAGCGAAAGCAAUAAACACACCGCCUGGGGAGUACGACCGCAAGGUUAAAACUCAAAUGAAUUGACGGGGACCCGCACAAGUAGUGGAGCAUGUGGUUUAAUUCGAAGAUACGCGCAGAACCUUACCAACACUUGACAUGUUCGUCGCGACUCUAAGAGAUUAGAGUUUUCGGUUCGGCCGGACGAAACACAGGUGCUGCAUGGCUGUCGUCAGCUCGUGUCGUGAGAUGUUGGGUUAAGUCCCGCAACGAGCGCAACCCCCACUUUUAGUUGCCAUCAUUUAGUUGGGCACUCUGAAAGAACUGCCAGUGAUAAGCUGGAGGAAGGUGGGGAUGACGUCAAGUCCUCAUGGCCCUUACGUGUUGGGCUACACACGUGCUACAAUGGCAUUUACAAUAGGAAGCAAGGUGGCGACAUCAAGCAAAUCCUAAAAAAAUGCCUCAGUUCGGAUUGUACUCUGCAACUCGAGUACAUGAAGCUGGAAUUACUAGUAAUCGCGGAUCAGCGCGCCGCGGUGAAUACGUUCCCGGGUCUUGUACACACCGCCCGUCACACCAUGGGAGUUGGUUCUACCUUAAGGCAAAGCUUAAAACCUUUGACCACGGUAUAGUCAGCGACUGGGGUGAAGUCGUAACAAGGUAACC
rnacentral:rRNA from 1 species